GAUUAACUCAGUCCUGAGAGUAAAAACUAUGAAAGAGUAAAAUGGUAUAGAAAAUAUUGGAGACCAACAUUUCUUUAAUAAUGAAAUAAUUUAUUAUUUGUUAACAGUUGAACAAUACAUAAGUUUACAUAUACACAGCAAAGAUUCUCUAAAACAUGUAAUAGUUUCUAAAAAUGCAUGUGCUAAUUGUAGUAAAAAGCACCAUUCUCUAUGGUCUUGACACAGGAUUUACAUUGGCGUCAUAUUUACAUAAAGAAAUAAACAUCUGGAAACAGUUUCCCAUUCUUUCAACUGCUGCUCCCCUGCUUAGGCUGUGUUUACCUUUAGGAAGAUGCCUCCCCAAAUUGAUGGUUAACAGCAAUAUUCCAAGAGCACCAAUUCUAGGGACAGAGGGGAAAGGCAAGUUUGGUUCUCAGGUAAAAGAGAUUCAACUCAAUCUUGUGGCAAGAGGGCAGCAGGCCUCCUCUAGCAGGCCACCGUCUUCUGUUUCUGUCAUACACACACUGGCCUGGAUUUUGAGUCCUCAUUCAGAAGUAAAUUGUAAGUAG
rnacentral:lncRNA from 1 species